AAGGUCCAACCUCAUGCGUCCU
rnacentral:miRNA from 1 species